GCAUCACCCUGCAGGCAAUGGGUGCUGGGGUCCGAGGACCCCGAGGGAGGUUUGUUCCGGUGGUCUUGGUGCAGAGAUGACAUCCCUGAGCACAGGGGUGCUGUUGGGCACAGCCUGGGUCCUUCAGGGGUGCAGCGCAGCAGGAAGGAGUGAGGGUGGUUCGGGGAUUUGGCAUUGCCAACAUCUCUUUCUCUCCAGGGCUGGCUCCUUCCUCCAGUACCAGGCAAGUUUGGUGCCUGGGGGCCCAGCCAGAGCCCUUUGCCUUCACGUGGGUGCUGGUGGAGCUGUGAAACCGACGGUGCUCACCACAGCACGCUCACUGACCCGGACCAGAACGCGGCAGCAUCGGUGCUGCCGGAUCGAGGCUCUGCCCUGCACCCCUCAGCCCCCUCCCCAAGGCUCCCAGCACCCACCCGCACCCCUCUUCACAAUCCGUCCUCCCCAGCCUUCUCCGCCGGUGCCUCCGGAGCCGCCUGUGGUGCCAGCUCGCAGGGAAAUUGGCAGCGAGUGUGGUGCAGGGAUCCUCCCGCAGCUGACGGAGCCCCGCCAGGCGCAGGCAGCCCUUCUGCCAGCCACCAGCCUUGGCACAGGGGGCCGGGGGGCCGCGGGGGGCUGCCGAGGCUUGGCAGCCCUUCCCCGGCACCACGCGCCCCAGCCGCCACUACGGCUCCGCUGCCAAAAGCCAAAUAAGGGGGAGGAAAAAGGGGAAAACGGCAGAGAGAGGAGCUGGCUUCACCGUGCCCGUCAGUGGGGGACCUGGGUGAUGUCCUCGUCCCUCGGCGAAGGGUGUGGGAGCCUGGCCGUGAUGCCAGCAUCACAUGGGGAGGCUCAGACCCAUCUGUCUCCACUCAUGCCCCCAGCCCGGGUGGGAAAGCCCAUCUUGGGGUUGGUGAGCGCCGAUACAGCCCGGCUCGGCGAUGCUGCAUGGCGAGCACGGCUCCCACAGACACACCUCUUACCCAGCAUCCGUCUGCCGAGUAGGGGGGUCCGGGAAAUUGGGAAGGGGAGAGCGGAGGAGGGACUUGUGGCGAUGGGUGGGUGGUUUUGGGGUGCCCUCUGGCCGUGUGCUGCUCUGCACGGCCACCUCGGCCUCGUGCAACACGGCGUCCCCCACCCUGUGCAGAAAACCUGGCCCCGGCGGUGCAGUCGUGCCAUGGCUCCGUCCUGGCCAGCCAGCGGCAUUGCAACCACCCUGCCUAUCUGGCUUUUCUUCCCAAAAUUCCUGGUCUCAAUGUCUUUUUGAAGGGAGAAGUGGGAACACGGCUUGAGCAUCCAUUGUAGCCUAGAUGCUCCCAGUGCUGAUGCCCCAGGAGGAUCCCUGAGGCCGAGGGACACCGGUGGGGACAGCCGGGCAGGAGACAUGGGACAGACUGCCAGUGCCCAGCUCGGCUUCAGCCAAAAUAAGUCAUUUACUGAGAGCCAUAGUUAUUGGGAGCUGCAGGGGUGUCAGGGCUGCCCCGCUACCCUCUCUCCAGCCC
rnacentral:lncRNA from 1 species